AGAUAGAAAAUAGAGCAAAGAGACCUAGUUAUAGAUCUAAAUAGAAAAAUCUAUUUUUCUAUUUAGAUCUAUAACUAGGUCUCUUUGCUCUAUUUUUUCCUCUC
rnacentral:miRNA from 1 species